rnacentral:rRNA from 1 species
GAUGAACGCUGGCGGCGUGCCUAAUACAUGCAAGUCGAACGCUGGAGCUCUAGCUUGCUAGAUCGAAGGAGUGGCGAACGGGUGAGUAAUACAUAAGCAACCUACCCACGAAGACUGGGAUAAUCUCUGGAAACGGGGACUAAUACCGGAUAGGUAAUCGGAAGGCAUCUUCUGGUUAUUAAAGGUUAAAAACACUGGUGGAUGGGCUUAUGGCGCAUUAGUUAGUUGGUGAGGUAACGGCCCACCAAGACGAUGAUGCGUAGCCGGCCUGAGGGGGUGAACGGCCACAUUGGGACUGAGACACGGCCCAGACUCCUACGGGAGGCAGCAGUAGGGAAUUUUCGGCAAUGGGGGCAACCCUGACCGAGCAACGCCGCGUGAGUGAAGACGGCCUUCGGGUUGUAAAGCUCUGUUGUAAGGGAAGAACGGUAGAUAGAGAAUAUCUAAGUGACGGUACCUUACCAGAAAGCCACGGCUAACUACGUG